rnacentral:rRNA from 1 species
AUUGAACGCUGGCGGCAUGCCUUACACAUGCAGGUCAAACGGCACCAUGAUCUAUCUUGCUGGAUUGAUGGCGAGUGGCGAACGGAGUGAAUAAUACACUCGGAACGUGCCUCUGUAGUGGGGGAUUACUAGUCGAAAGAUUAGCUAAUACCGCAUACGACCUGAGGGUGAAAGUGGGGGACCGCAAGGCCUCAUGCUAUAGGAGCGGCCGAUGUCUGAUUAGCUAGUUGGUGAGGUAAAGGCUCACCAAGGCGACGAUCAGUAGCUGGUCUGAGAGGACGAUCACCCACACUGGGACUGACACACGGCCCACACUCCUACGGGAGGCAGCACUGGGGAAUUUUGGACAAUGGGGGCAACCCUGAUCCACCAAUGCCGCGUGUGUGAACAAAGCCUUCCGGUUGUAAAGCACUUUUGUCCGGAAAGAAAUCGCACUUACUAAUAUUACGUGUGGAUGACGGUACCGGAACAAUAACGACCGGCUAACUACGUGCCAGCAGCCGCGGUAAUACGUAGGGUCCAAGCGUUAAUCGGAAUUACUGGGCGUAAAGCGUGCGCAGGCGGUUGUGCAAGACCGAUGUGAAAUCCCCGGGCUUAACCUGGGAAUUGCAUUGGUGACUGCACGGCUAGAGUGUGUCAGAGGGGGGUAAAAUUCCACGUGUAGCAGUGAAAUGCGUAGAGAUGUGGAGGAAUACCGAUGGCGAAGGCAGCCCCCUGGGAUAACACUGACGCUCAUGCACGAAAGCGUGGGGAGCAAACAGGAUUAGAUACCCUGGUAGUCCACGCCCUAAACGAUGUCAACUAGUUGUUGGGGAUUCAUUUCCUUAGUAACGUAGCUAACGCGUGAAGUUGACCGCCUGGGGAGUACGGUCGCAAGAUUAAAACUCAAAGGAAUUGACGGGGACCCGCACAAGCGGUGGAUGAUGUGGAUUAAUUCGAUGCAACGCGAAAAACCUUACCUACCCUUGACAUGCCACUAACGAAGCAGAGAUGCAUUAGGUGCUCGAAAGAGAAAGUGGACACAGGUGCUGCAUGGCUGUCGUCAGCUCGUGUCGCUGAGAUGUUGGGUUAAGUCCCGCAACGAGCGCAACCCUUGUCUCUAGUCGCUACGAAAGGGCACUCUAGAGAGACUGCCGGUGACAAACCGGAGGAAGGUGGGGAUGACGUCAAGUCCUCAUGGCCCUUAUGGGCAGGGCUUCACACGUCAUACAAUGGUGCAUACAGAGGGUCGCCAAGCCGCGAGGUGGAGCUAAUCCCAGAAAAUGCAUCGUAGUCCGGAUCGUAGUCUGCAACUCGACUACGCGAAGCCGGAAUCGCUAGUAAUCGCGGAUCAGCAUGCCGCGGUGAAAAGGUUCCCGGGUCU